GGGGUUGUGGUCUAGUGGUAUGACAUCUUCUUAGCAUUGCUUCUUGUAAGCGGUUCUGAGUUGGAGAAGGUUCUGGGUUCGAUUCCCAGCUACUCCA
rfam:Aureobasidium pullulans var. melanogenum CBS 110374 unplaced genomic scaffold scaffold_30, whole genome shotgun sequence.